rnacentral:lncRNA from 1 species
GCUCCACCUGCCUCCCAGGCUGGCCUGAUGACAGCAGCAGAGAUGACUAGGCUGACAGCUGACUAGAGUGUUGGGGGGGUAGGGCCCCUCCUCACCACUCCUUUUAUUGGGCAUCCUGCUCAGCUACACACCCAGCUUCAUGCCAAGUCCUGCCCAGCCCUGUGGCAGUUUCGGGGAAGGGGCAUCCAAAAGGUGGAGCUGGGGAGGCUCCUUCCAUGCAGCUGACCUCUGGCCCUGAGGGAAACUGGAAACUGCCUCCAUGGGAUACAGUGAGGAUCAAAUUGGGCUGAAGGUCAUUUUCACCUGCCUAACUUUGAAUAGAAUGACAAAGGAGGAAGUUGUGACAAGUGUGGAGACAGAACAUCUAGCCCAGGCUGGCUUUAAACUCACUGUACAGCAAAAGUGACAUGGAACUUCAGAUCCUCCUGCCUGCACCUCGCCAGUUUUGGAAUCAGAAGCAUGUAUCUCCACGUCCAGAUUCUGUGGUGCAGGGAAGGAACCUAGGCUUUCCUGCCUGCUAGAGCUACAACCCCACGGUGUUUGAGCGCUAUAACGCCACUCUGCAAAUGAAGGGUAAACCUGUGCGCCUCCAAAUCUGGGACACAGCCGGGCAAGAUGACUAUGACCGCCUCCGGCCCUUGUUCUAUCCUGAUGCCAAUGUCUUGCUCCUCUGCUUCGAUGUGACCAAUCCAAACAGUUUUGACAACGUCUCCAACCGG